AUUGAACGCUGGCGGCAGGCCUAACACAUGCAAGUCGAGCGGAUGACGGGAGCUUGCUCCUUGAUUCAGCGGCGGACGGGGGAGUAAUGCCUAGGAAUCUGCCUGGUAGUGGGGGACAACGUUUCGAAAGGAACGCUAAUACCGCAUACGUCCUACGGGAGAAAGCAGGGGAACUUCGGUCCUUGCGCUAUCAGAUGAGCCUAGGUCGGAUUAGCUAGUAGGUGAGGUAAUGGCUCACCUAGGCGACGAUCCGUAACUGGUCUGAGAGGAUGCUCAGUCACACUGGAACUGAGACACGGUCCAGACUCCUACGGGAGGCAGCAGUGGGGAAUAUUGGACAAUGGGCGAAAGCCUGAUCCAGCCAUGCCGCGUGUGUGAAGAAGGUCUUCGGAUUGUAAAGCACUUUAAGUUGGGAGGAAGGGCAGUAAGUUAAUACCUUGCUGUUUUGACGUUACCGACAGAAUAAGCACCGGCUAACUCUGUGCCAGCCGCCGCAGUAA
rnacentral:rRNA from 1 species